rnacentral:rRNA from 1 species
GAGAGGUCCAAACGUUAUUCGGAAUUACUGGGCUUACAGAGUUCGUAGGCGGCUCUACAAGUGAGGUGUGAAAGCCCUCGGCUCAACCGAGGAACUGCGCUUCAAACUGUAGAACUAGAGGGAGAUAGAGGUGAGCAGAACUGAUGGUGGAGCGGUGAAAUGCGUUGAUGUCAUCAGGAAUACCGGAGGCGAAGGCGGCUCACUGGGUCUCUUCUGACGCUGAGGAACGAAAGCUAGGGGAGCAAACGGGAUUAGAUACCCCGGUAGUCCUAGCCGUAAACGAUGAGCACUGGGCCGGAGCUCUGCACAGGGUUUCGGCCGUAGCGAAAGUGUUAAGUGCUCCGCCUGGGGAGUAUGGUCGCAAGGCUG